GUUAAAUACAACUUUCGGCAAUGGACCUCUUGGUUCUCCUAUCGAUGAAAAACCCAGCGAAUUGCAAUAAGUAAUGUGAAUUGCAAAAUUCAUUGAACCAUUGAUUUUUUGAACGCAUCUUGCCCCCUUUGGUAUUCCUUAGGGCAUGCCUGUUUGAGUGUCAUGAAUCCCAUUUGG
rnacentral:rRNA from 1 species